rnacentral:ncRNA from 1 species
CAAAGGCAUGGUCCUGACCUUAUUAUCAGCUUUAGCCCAACUUACACAUGCAAGUCUCCGCAGUCCCGUGAAUAUGCCCUCAAUCCCCUGCCCGGGGACGAGGAGCGGGCAUCAGGCACAAACUUUAGCCCAAGACGCCUAGCCAAGCCACACCCCCAAGGGAAUUCAGCAGUGAUAGACAUUAAGCCAUAAGUGAAAACUUGACUCAGUCAGGGUUAAUGAGGGCCGGUAAAACUCGUGCCAGCCACCGCGGUUAAACGAGAGGCCCUAGUUGAUAUUAUCACGGCGUAAAGGGUGGUUAAGGAAUGCAUAAUAAUAAAGCCAAAUGGCCCUUUGGCCGUCAUACGCUUCUAGGUGUCCGAAGCCCACUCAUACGAAAGUAGCUUUAAUAAAAUCCACCUGACCCCACGAAAGCUAAGAAACAAACUGGGAUUAGAUACCCCACUAUGCUCAGCUAUAAACCUAGACGUCCACAUACAAUUAGACGUCCGCCCGGGUACUACGAGCAUCAGCUUGAAACCCAAAGGACCUGACGGUGCCUUAGACCCCCCUAGAGGAGCCUGUUCUAGAACCGAUAACCCCCGUUAAACCUCACCACUUCUAGCCACCCCAGCCUAUAUACCGCCGUCGCCAGCUUACCCUGUGAAGGCAAUAAAAGUAAGCAAAAUGGGCACAACCCAGAACGUCAGGUCGAGGUGUAGCGUACGAAGUGGGAAGAAAUGGGCUACAUUUUCUAUCAUAGAACACUACGGACAUGCAACAUGAAAUAGUGCUUGAAGGAGGAUUUAGUAGUAAAAAGGAAGCAGAGUGUCCUUUUGAACCCGGCUCUAAGGCGCGUACACACCGCCCGUCACUCUCCCCUGUCAAUACGCAGUAAAGAUUCAUAACACCAAAGCACUGACAAGGGGAGGCAAGUCGUAACAUGGUAAGUGUACCGGAAGGUGCACUUGGAUUAAACC